rnacentral:rRNA from 1 species
GACAUGUGGGGCAAGCGUUGUUCGGAAUCACUGGGCAUAAAGGGUGCGUAGGCGGCUUGUUAAGUCAGAGGUGAAAGUUUUCGGCCCAACCGGAAAAUGGCCUUUGAUACUGGCGAGCUGGAGUGCGUGAGGGGUGACUGGAACGAGUGGUGUAGCGGUGAAAUGCGUAGAUAUCACUCGGAAGGCCAACGGCGAAGGCAGGUCACUGGUACGCAACUGACGCUGAGGCACGAAAGCGUGGGGAGCAAACAGG